GGUUAAGCGACUAAGCGUACACGGUGGAUGCCCUGGCAGUCAGAGGCGAUGAAGGGCGUGCUAAUCUGCGAUAAGCGCCGGUAAGGUGAUAUGAACCGUUAUAACCGGCGAUACCCGAAUGGGGAAACCCAGUGUGACUCGUCACACUAUCAUUAACUGAAUCCAUAGGUUAAUGAGGCGAACCGGGGGAACUGAAACAUCUAAGUACCCCGAGGAAAAGAAAUCAACCGAGAUUCCCCCAGUAGCGGCGAGCGAACGGGGAGGAGCCCAGAGCCUGAAUCAGCAUGUGUGUUAGUGGAAGCGUCUGGAAAGGCGCGCGAUACAGGGUGACAGCCCCGUACACAAAAGCGCAUGUGCUGUGAGCUCGAUGAGUAGGGCGGGACACGUGGUAUCCUGUCUGAAUAUGGGGGGACCAUCCUCCAAGGCUAAAUACUCCUGACUGACCGAUAGUGAACCAGUACCGUGAGGGAAAGGCGAAAAGAACCCCGGCGAGGGGAGUGAAAAAGAACCUGAAACCGUGUACGUACAAGCAGUGGGAGCCCCACCACUAAGCCAGUGGUGAACUCCACAUACGCAUCCUUUGCUGAGGAUACGGUUAACGGAGCGAAAGCGACGUUCAACCUCAAAAGAAGCAGAGGGGGCUUAGUGGUGGGGUGACUGCGUACCUUUUGUAUAAUGGGUCAGCGACUUAUAUUCUGUAGCAAGGUUAACCGUAUAGGGGAGCCGUAGGGAAACCGAGUCUUAACCGGGCGUUAAGUUGCAGGGUAUAGACCCGAAACCCGGUGAUCUAGCCAUGGGCAGGUUGAAGGUUGGGUAACACUAACUGGAGGACCGAACCGACUAAUGUUGAAAAAUUAGCGGAUGACCUGUGGCUGGGGGUGAAAGGCCAAUCAAACCGGGAGAUAGCUGGUUCUCCCCGAAAGCUAUUUAGGUAGCGCCUCGUGAAUUCAUCUCCGGGGGUAGAGCACUGUUUCGGCUAGGGGGCCAUCCCGGCUUACCAACCCGAUGCAAACUGCGAAUACCGGAGAAUGUUAUCACGGGAGACACACGGCGGGUGCUAACGUCCGUCGUGAAGAGGGAAACAACCCAGACCGCCAGCUAAGGUCCCAAAGUCAUGGUUAAGUGGGAAACGAUGUGGGAAGGCCCAGACAGCCAGGAUGUUGGCUUAGAAGCAGCCAUCAUUUAAAGAAAGCGUAAUAGCUCACUGGUCGAGUCGGCCUGCGCGGAAGAUGUAACGGGGCUAAACCAUGCACCGAAGCUGCGGCAGCGACGUUUAUGCGUUGUUGGGUAGGGGAGCGUUCUGUAAGCCUGCGAAGGUGGCCUGUGAGGGUUGCUGGAGGUAUCAGAAGUGCGAAUGCUGACAUAAGUAACGAUAAAGCGGGUGAAAAGCCCGCUCGCCGGAAGACCAAGGGUUCCUGUCCAACGUUAAUCGGGGCAGGGUGAGUCGACCCCUAAGGCGAGGCCGAAAGGCGUAGUCGAUGGGAAACGGGUUAAUAUUCCCGUACUUGGUGUUACUGCGAAGGGGGGACGGAGAAGGCUAUGUUGGCCGGGCGACGGUUGUCCCGGUUUAAGCGUGUAGGCUGGUUUUCCAGGCAAAUCCGGAAAAUCAAGGCUGAGGCGUGACGACGAGGCACUACGGUGCUGAAGCAACAAAUGCCCUGCUUCCAGGAAAAGCCUCUAAGCAUCAGGUAACAUCAAAUCGUACCCCAAACCGACACAGGUGGUCAGGUAGAGAAUACCAAGGCGCUUGAGAGAACUCGGGUGAAGGAACUAGGCAAAAUGGUGCCGUAACUUCGGGAGAAGGCACGCUGACAUGUAGGUGAAGUGAUUUACUCAUGGAGCUGAAGUCAGUCGAAGAUACCAGCUGGCUGCAACUGUUUAUUAAAAACACAGCACUGUGCAAACACGAAAGUGGACGUAUACGGUGUGACGCCUGCCCGGUGCCGGAAGGUUAAUUGAUGGGGUCAGCGCAAGCGAAGCUCCUGAUCGAAGCCCCGGUAAACGGCGGCCGUAACUAUAACGGUCCUAAGGUAGCGAAAUUCCUUGUCGGGUAAGUUCCGACCUGCACGAAUGGCGUAAUGAUGGCCAGGCUGUCUCCACCCGAGACUCAGUGAAAUUGAACUCGCUGUGAAGAUGCAGUGUACCCGCGGCAAGACGGAAAGACCCCGUGAACCUUUACUAUAGCUUGACACUGAACAUUGAGCCUUGAUGUGUAGGAUAGGUGGGAGGCUUUGAAGCGUGGACGCCAGUCUGCGUGGAGCCGACCUUGAAAUACCACCCUUUAAUGUUUGAUGUUCUAACGUGGACCCGUUACCCGGGUUGCGGACAGUGUCUGGUGGGUAGUUUGACUGGGGCGGUCUCCUCCUAAAGAGUAACGGAGGAGCACGAAGGUUGGCUAAUCCUGGUCGGACAUCAGGAGGUUAGUGCAAUGGCAUAAGCCAGCUUGACUGCGAGCGUGACGGCGCGAGCAGGUGCGAAAGCAGGUCAUAGUGAUCCGGUGGUUCUGAAUGGAAGGGCCAUCGCUCAACGGAUAAAAGGUACUCCGGGGAUAACAGGCUGAUACCGCCCAAGAGUUCAUAUCGACGGCGGUGUUUGGCACCUCGAUGUCGGCUCAUCACAUCCUGGGGCUGAAGUAGGUCCCAAGGGUAUGGCUGUUCGCCAUUUAAAGUGGUACGCGAGCUGGGUUUAGAACGUCGUGAGACAGUUCGGUCCCUAUCUGCCGUGGGCGCUGGAGAACUGAGGGGGGCUGCUCCUAGUACGAGAGGACCGGAGUGGACGCAUCACUGGUGUUCGGGUUGUCAUGCCAAUGGCACUGCCCGGUAGCUAAAUGCGGAAGAGAUAAGUGCUGAAAGCAUCUAAGCACGAAACUUGCCCCGAGAUGAGUUCUCCCUGAGACUUUAGGUCUCCUGAAGGAACGUUGAAGACGACGACGUUGAUAGGCCGGGUGUGUAAGCGCAGCGAUGCGUUGAGCUAACCGGUACUAAUGAACCGUGAGGCUUAACCUU
rnacentral:rRNA from 1 species